rfam:Camelus ferus unplaced genomic scaffold scaffold688, whole genome shotgun sequence.
GAGGGUAUAGCUCAAGUGGUAGAGCGCUUGCUUAGCAUGCAUGGGGCCCUGGGCUCAAUCCCCAGUCCCUCCU